CUUUCCUUCUGGCUAACCUUGAGUCCUUGUGGCUCUUGGCGAACCAGGACUUUUACUUUGAAAAAAUUAGAGUGUUCAAAGCAGGCGUAUUGCUCGAAUAUAUUAGCAUGGAAUAAUAGAAUAGGACGUUUGGUUCUAUUUUGUUGGUUUCUAGGACCAUCGUAAUGAUUAAUAGGGACGGUCGGGGGCAUCAGUAUUCAAUUGUCAGAGGUGAAAUUCUUGGAUUUAUUGAAGACUAACUACUGCGAAAGCAUUUGCCAAGGACGUUUUCAUUAAUCAAGAACGAAAGUUAGGGGAUCGAAGAUGAUCAGAUACCGUCGUAGUCUUAACCAUAAACUAUGCCGACUAGGGAUCGGGUGGUGUUUUUUUAAUGACCCACUCGGCACCUUACAAGAAAUCAAAGUCUUUGGGUUCUGGGGGGAGUAUGGUCGCAAGGCUGAAACUUAAAGGAAUUGACGGAAGGGCACCACCAGGAGUGGAGCCUGCGGCUUAAUUUGACUCAACACGGGGAAACUCACCAGGUCCAGACACAAUAAGGAUUGACAGAUUGAGAGCUCUUUCUUGAUUUUGUGGGUGGUGGUGCAUGGCCGUUCUUAGUUGGUGGAGUGAUUUGUCUGCUUAAUUGCGAUAACGAACGAGACCUUAACCUACUAAAUAGUGGUGCUAGCAUUUGCUGGUUAUCCACUUCCUAAAGGGACUAUCCGUUUCAACCCAAUGGAAGUUUGAAGCAAUACAGGUCUGUGAUGCCCUUAAACGUUCUGGGCCGCACGCGCGCUACACUGACGAAGCCAGCAAGUCUAACCUUGUCCGAGAGGUCUUGGUAAUCUUGUGAAACUCCGUCGUGCUGGGGAUAGAGCAUUGUAUUAUUAGCUCUUCAAAGAGGAAUACCUAGUAAGCACAGGUCAUCAGCUUGCGUUGAUUACAUCCCUGCCCAUUGUAC
rnacentral:rRNA from 1 species